rnacentral:lncRNA from 1 species
AUAUAUUUAGACAGUGAUGUGUCAAAAGUUCCAUGUCCUUACAUUGUAUAAUUUAAAAUAGAAAAAGACCAUAAUACUUGGCACUGAAUAGCAUAGGACGGUUUAAACAAUGUAAUUUGAAUAGUUUAACAUGACAAAGAAAUAGACGAAAUGACAAACAGUCGUGGAAAGGAUACCAAUACAAAGUUACACCAACACGAAACUACCCACAACAAAGUAUCCUCAGAUAAUACUCCCUGCUGACACCGGUUGUUCAUUACUGCUUUUAUGCUUGGAUUAGUUUUUACAAGCAAAAAAAAGAAGGAUGGGUUGUUUACUCGAAAGCCGAUUUGAAAACUUAGCUUGAUCAUGAUGGUGUUUCAAAAUCUUUAGAGGAGACAUUUUAAUUUUACCAUUCAAUAGUAUUGAUCUUGAGGUUAUGUUUGAAAUUAAGUUCAAUUGCUUACUUGCUUUCAUUAUUUUGAUUCAUGCGUCACUGAUGGGUCUUUUGUAGACGAAACAGGCGUCUGACGUACAAAAAAGUAAUCCUGGUAUCUAUGAAAAGUUUAUGUACAAGUAUAAGACAACCCUCUGUUACGGAAAUCGUAAUAAUGAAACAAAAUUAAAACUGACGUGUCAACUGACAGUGUACAUUCCAUGUGCAGGUUCACAGUUGGAAUGAUGCAGCAUCUGAAACCAUCUGUUUAUUGUUUGAUAGUUCUCAUCCGAUCUUAGCUGUUGUGAGUCUAUGCACGAUGCAGGCCUUAAUUACUACUAGUACAAAAAUGUAUAUCUAUAUACUAUCCUUCACUUCCAAGUUCUAGAGAUCAAUCAUAAUGCAUUGUUUCGCGAAAAGACAAUUUUAGUGUCUUUUAAUUUGAAAAAUGAAAAACCUCAACAAUGAUUCAUUUUUACAAUGUUUGUGGCAAUACAAUAAAUAACAAUAGGCGACGUCAGACGUUUCAUGAUUACAAAAUAGCACUACAAUACACUGUUUCUUAAUUCAAAAGAGAAAUAUAUAUAUGUUUGCUAAGUUACAAAACUGUAUUGUGUUUUUACCAGAC